rnacentral:rRNA from 1 species
UACAGAGGGUGCGAGCGUUAAUCGGAAUUACUGGGCGUAAAGCGCACGUAGUCGGCUUUGCAAGUCGGGUGUGAAAUCCCCGGGCUCAACCUGGGAACUGCAUCCGAGACUGCAUUGCUAGAGUAUGGGAGAGGGAAGCGGAAUUUCUGGUGUAGCAGUGAAAUGCGUAGAUAUCAGAAGGAACAUCAGUGGCGAAGGCGGCUUCCUGGACCAAAUACUGACGAGUC